rnacentral:lncRNA from 1 species
GGGGCAAAAUGGAAGGAGUCAGCAUUUCUCUUUUAGGUUCUCUGCCUCUCCAAUGUGAAGACUGGAGAAACCUAAUCCUAGGUGCUGCCAUUGGGACAAACAAGAAGCACCAGACACAGUGCUGUUUUAGGGUGGGGCAGAAUUAUGCUGAGGGAAAAGUUAUUAUCACUCUUUAAGGCCAAGGAAACCACAAGUUUUAAAGAAGCUUCAAGAAAUUCUACCCAAUAGAAAAUAAAGAUAAAUUUCUGUAAGGAAUUUCA